rnacentral:rRNA from 1 species
GACGAACGCUGGCGGCGUGCUUAACACAUGCAAGUCGAACGGAAAGGCCCUGCUUUUGUGGGGUGCUCGAGUGGCGAACGGGUGAGUAACACGUGAGUAACCUGCCCUUGACUUUGGGAUAACUUCAGGAAACUGGGGCUAAUACCGGAUAGGAGCUCCUGCUGCAUGGUGGGGGUUGGAAAAUUUCGGCGGUUGGGGAUGGACUCGCGGCUUAUCAGCUUGUUGGUGGGGUAGUGGCUUACCAAGGCUUUGACGGGUAGCCGGCCUGAGAGGGUGACCGGCCACAUUGGGACUGAGAUACGGCCCAGACUCCUACGGGAGGCAGCAGUGGGGAAUAUUGCACAAUGGGCGGAAGCCUGAUGCAGCAACGCCGCGUGCGGGAUGACGGCCUUCGGGCUGUAAACCGCUUUCGCCUGUGACGAAGCGUGAGUGACGGUAAUGGGUAAAGAAGCACCGGCUAACUACGUG